AUUUGCAAAAAAACAAAACAAAACAAAAAAUCAAACAUUUCCUCCACCUCCCCACUCAGUUCCCACAUUGACGUGCAGUACUUCUUCUUGUUCUUCUUCUUUCACUUACUUAGAGCAGAAUAGUUAGUUAUAUUCUUGUGCCGCUGUUACAUGCUCCUGUUAUGAGUGCGUCAGUUAGCUUUAUCUUUGGCCACCAGUAGUAGCGCUAGUCGUAUGGAGUUGUUAUUUUCUUUUUCUUGAGUAAAAAUUCUAGUGUUAGAAAUUCAAAGGCACCCCUUUUUUCUUACAGAAAAAAUUCUACUACAUGAAUGCAGCUGAACAUUUUCAUUCAUUUUUUCCGUUCGUUUUGUUUCAUCUACCUUUCAAUACUCGUUUCUACAUCAAGCGAAAGAGAGGGACAUCCCUGAUGGAAGAAACCGUGCUUACUGCCAGUAUCAGAUUAAAGCAAUCUCACUGCUUAGACAGUUCUUCUUUUCUUUGCAAAUUGCGUCGCUCAAUAUUUUCUUCUGCUAAUGUCAUGUUUUUUAUCUUUUUUAUGUCUUUCGCUUUACACAUUUAUGCAUUUCUCUUCCUGUAUUUUAUUCUAUUUGAUUGUUUUCAUGUUUGCGUUACUGUGCGGUCUGUUUGAGCCUGAACUUUAAUUCCGCUCUGUACGAUUGUUUACAACCAAUUUUAACGAAAUAUUUGUCACAAAUAUGCAUACAAGCUCUAUCAAUUGGCUUCACAGUUUUGCACAUACUUUGCGAUCGCUUCCACAUUUCGUUUAUUAAUGCUAUGCAAACAAAGCAUCGUUAAUUUUGUUUUAUUUAUCUUUCCCUACCAUUUACUAAAUCUUAAGUGAUAAGUAUACCAAACAAAACGAAAUUCUACUACAGUAAGAUCUUGGUGGCGUCGUGGUUUCGAAGGUAUCCAUGAAUGUUUGGAGUAGUGAAAAGCCCGCCUAAUGGCACCAUCUUGGUGGUGAGCAGAGAGGUGGUACGAUGAGAAACAAUAGUACACAUUUCAUCGCUCACGGAUGAGUGCGUUCCGAUGAGAAGUGAGCAUUAGUGUGAGCUGUACUUGGCAAUGCAGUCUCUCGCAUCCAAGACGCAUCCACUACUACUUGCUACUCUCGACGAUGCUCACAUCUUGUGACGCUUUACAUGUGUUACCGCUCUGUUGCCCGCUCUGUUCUUCCUUCCGCAAUGGUUGCUCCUCCGGCUCGAAUAGAGCAAGAGAGUGAGAGUGAACGCACGCAACCACAAUAAAACACGAAAUCAUCUGUUUGGUUUGACCGUGCUUGGGGCGAUGCAAUGGAGCGGGAAGGGAAGGUUACAUCGGAGAAGGACGAUGUCGGUGAUGUUUUUCUCCCUCUCGUCGGGGAGGAAGCGAGAGAGAGAGCGAGCGCCCUCAACAUUGGCCGUGCGGUGUAACAACCGAUCACUACGCGGGCCCCACACUCUGGCCAUGGGGUGAACGGUGGCGCUGUCAGUUAGCGAACGGCACUCGACUUUUCAACAGUCGAAGAAGUUGUUUUCCCCGGGUUUGCGCACACGAGCAGUGGCGGUGGCCUUUUGUUGCGUUUGAAGUUAUUUGGCGUUUGUUCGUGCGUGGUUUCUCGGUUUCUUCUUCUUCUUCUUCUUCUGGCCGGUUGCAUUUUCGGCUGCAUCGCUCGCGCGCGCUACACAUCAUUGUGCAACUGCUCCUGCUGCUGUAUCGUGUGAUUUGUGUGCUUUUUCGCGGAUCAAUUUCGUUUUGGCAAACCAACUGUUGGUGAGCUCUCCUAUCGUUGAGGCAUCAGCAGCAAAUCGGGGGAAAAAAGCAGUUCAUAAAAAGUGUUUUGUGCGAGUGUCAUAAUAAGAGAAAAAAACCACCCAUCAUAUUUACCCUUCUCAUCAUCAUCGUCGCACGACAAGCCUUCACCUUCCGCCGUCUUGUAAAACAUGGCCCAAAUGGUGACAAUGGAAUCGAUCGAUCUGAGCGAUGCGACCAUCAGCAUACCGCCCGAAAUCCAGGUGGACCAGAUACACAUCGAAACGCCAGAGGAAAGGUGAGAAUCGUAACACCGCACUGUGGAAGGUACGCCCGUGUCUUUGCGUGUGGCCUGGCGCGCGGGGACGGCGUGGCCAGGAGCGAGCGAACCCGGCCGUAAGUGAAACGGCGAACAGACGCAAUUUUCUGGCGUCCAAAAAUAGCCCAUGCAUCAAAAGGGCCACUCCAGCUCUCUCUCUGGAGGAUUGGAAAUGAAUCGACGGCCUCGCCUCUGAUCCUCCGGCUUUGGUGGUGGUGCUGGUGAUGGUGGUGCAGCGGUCUGGCUGCUAGCCAAGUUAGGUUAGGGGGAAGGGAUGGUGUUGUUGUAGACCAAAUAGCAAGAUUCACAGUUCGCACGAAGGCGAUCGAUCGAUCUCCGGGAAGCGUCGUUUUCGAACACUUUCGGACGUUCCGAUGUUAAUAGGACGAAUGACACAGCUUAAUGCAAUUGUGUGUGAUAUGAGAAUUGGAGCACAAGAAACUAAUUCGCAUCUGGACGAAGCGGCAUGUUUCGGGGCGUCGAUCGAUACCACCGUGACUAAGUGUUUGCUCAAAAACCUUACAGAUUGUGGGUUUAAAUUUUAUCUGAGCCGUCCGACUUCACGCCACUGCUACGUUGCAAGAUGAAUCUGUAAACGCCUUACUUCAAACAGCACCAUCAAUAGAAA